ACUGGUAUACCUGAAGCUAUAGUGUAUGCUGGACAAGUGUUUUAUGAAUGAGCAGAUUUACUGAGAUUUGCAGCAAUCAAAGAUUUAGAUGCUCUUAUUAAAUUCAUUAGAAAAGAGUAUCAUCAGCAUAAACUCAGAUUGAAGAAGGAGAUUUAGAUCAUUUUGGUCAUAAGAGUAACACUCCUCCAUCUUGUCUGGUAUCAAUAUAUGCUGACAGCAGCCGUCCUGAUACUGUUCAUGUACUGAAGUAUGCUAUACCAUUGAAAGGAUUACAUAAACCAAAAACAAUCAAUAUUAACAGAUCAAUGAAAGAUAUGUAUAAUAGUAUUGCAUAAAGUUCAGUUUUUAUUAUUCUUAUUACCUUCUUCAAUAGAUUCUGUUUACAUCAGUAGAUCACCUCUUUCUCCUCCUACUUUAAACAUAAUCAGCCCUACUAUCUCUAAUGCUAGUACCAGUAAAACCAGGAGAGGGACUGAAGAAGGCAGUAGAUAUAGAUUGGAUAUUGCUCAUAGAGUAAUGACAGAAUGUACUUCAUCAAUAAAGGACUGUGGAAUUGAUAUCAACUUCUUAGUUGACAAAUUACUGGAACACAGGAUCGUAAAUUCAAGAGAGAAAAGGAAAAUUACUGCUAGAGAAACUGACGAUGACAAAAUGGAUGAGUUGCUUCACAUAAUUUUGAGUUCUAUUUGUAUGAAUGGAAAAGUGUUUGGUAUAUUUAUAGAUAUACUGAGAGAAGAAGACACUUUGAGAACUAUUGCACUAGCUGACACACUAAUG